CCAUCUUCUAAUAGAUCGCAUGGGAAAGUUUAUUCUCUUACUGUUCUUUCUUUCCCUUGUCCAUUCUUCUCUUGGUUUGUCUUCCUCUUCUCUUUAUCCAACUCCUUUGUGUCCACCAGCUGACAGCUCGGCUUUAAUCCGAUUCAAAAACACUUUGUCCAUUGAUGAUCAUUCUGAAUCAUGUGAUGGCACUUCUUAUCCCAAAACAAAGUCUUGGAAUGAAAGCACAGAUUGUUGCACAUGGUAUGGUGUCACCUGUAAUAAGGCAACUGGUCAGGUGAUUAGCCUGGACCUUAGUUGCUCUAAGCUUGUUGGCUCUCUUUCUCCAAACACCACUCUCUUCCGCCUCCAAGGACUCCAACGACUCAACCUCGCCUACAACAGUCUCGAUGGUUCUUUGGGUUCGUCUGGGUUGAGCCAGUUAGUGAGUCUAACACAUCUUAAUCUUUCUGGUAAUUACUUCUUAUAUUUAGCUGCAUCGGAUAUUACUUCUCUAUCGAAACUGAUUUCACUUGAUCAUUCCUGGAAUAAUUACUUGAAAUUUGAUGACCACAGUUUCGGUAUGCUUACGCGGAACUUGUCUAAAUUAGAGAAUCUUGCCCUUGUGGAUGUAGACAUGUCCGAUGUUGUUGUUCCUACAUCCUUUUUAAACAUUUCUUCAUCUCUAAAGCAACUGGAUCUCCAUGGUUGUCAGUUACAAGGGGAAUUCCCUAUUGAAAUAUUCCAGCUUGGGUACCUAGAGUAUCUUGAUCUUGGUGGUAACUCUUUGACGGGUUAUCUCCCCAAGUCCAAUUGGAUUAGUCCUCUGUGGUUGUUGGACCUUUCGUUUAAUCAGUUUAGAGGCUCAAUUCCUGCAUCUCUUGGUAACCUCACAAAAAUCACCUCUUUGAUUUUCGAAUUCAACCAUUUCGAAAGCCAAAUUCCAGAUGCUUUUGGAAACCUCCGCAGACUUACUUUUAUGGAUUUCUCUAAUUGUAAUUUUAGUGGUGAACUUCCCUCGUCUUUGUUCAACCUCACACACCUAACUUCUUUAGAUUUAUCAUCGAAUAGGAUACAAGGUCCCCUUCCGACUCAUGUCAGCGGCCUUCAGCGUCUAGAAGAUUUGGGAUUACUAUCGAUUUCUGAAAACAAAUUGACAGGAGAAAUCCCUCCAAUUUGUAAUUUGAGUUCACUUUAUGUUCUUGACUUGUCUAGAAAUUACUUGACAGGAACCAUUCCGGCUUGUGUCGGAAAUUCAAGCUCUUACAUCUCAACCAUAAACCUACAAACGAAUAGCUUGACCGGCAAAAUCCCUGACUUUUGCGUUCAUGAAAACGAUUUGCAAGUUCUUUCCCUUAACGACAACCAAUUGGAAGGGUCAUUGCCACGAUCCUUGAUCAAAUGUACUGCCUUGACACCUUUCCCCACUGGUUGGGUGUUCUUCCAAUGCUGCAAGUUUUAAUCAUGACGUUUCUUGAAGUGUUAAACUUGUCGCACAACAAUCUCGUGGGACACAUCCCCAAUGGAAAACAAUUCAACACCUUUGAGAAUGAUUCCUACACCGGAAACUUGGGAUUGUGUGGCUUCCCCGUGACAAAGCAAUGCGGCAAUGUCCCGGGACCGAAGCCGCCUGCACCGAAGUCGAAGGAAGAUGGUGGUUCAGCAGUGAGUUUGUUUUGGAAACUUGUAAUGAUGGGAUACGGAAGUGGAGUAGUGGUAGGAAUAAGCACAGCCUACAUUGUGUUCACCACCGGAAGGCCAUGGUGGUUGGUGAGAAUCGUGGACAGAGAUCUGCAAAGGAUUGUUACAAGGUGGGUUCGUAGAAUUCAAGGAAAAACAAACAUCCACUGAAUGAAAAAUUCCAAGCGGUUGGAACUGAAGAUGGGGGG